GUGCUCCCUUCGGCAGCACAUACACUAAAAAAUUGGAAGGAUACAGAGGAGAUUAGCAUGGCCCCUGCACAAAGAUUCAUUGCAAAAGCACCUCUAAAGCAUAAU
rnacentral:snRNA from 1 species